rnacentral:snRNA from 1 species
AUCUAUAUGAGUUUCAAACACCACCCAAGUGUGCUAUCUGUUCUUAUCAGUUUAAUAUCUGAUAUGCGAGCCAUAUGCUUACUUCUAUAUUAAAUUUAUUUAUUUUUUUGUGAGGGAGUGCCCUCAAGUGUCGUUUAAGCGUUGCACUACACCCUAAGCCGCCCCAACUAAA